rnacentral:rRNA from 1 species
UACGUAGGAUCCAAGCGUUAUCCGGAUUUAUUGGGUUUAAAGGGUGCGCAGGCGGAAGAUUAAGUCGGCGGUGAAAUUUUGCAGCUCAACUGUAAAAGUGCCAUCGAUACUGGUUUUCUUGAGUGUGGAUGAAGUAGGCGGAAUUUGUGGUGUAGCGGUGAAAUGCAUAGAUAUCACGAGGAACUCCGAUUGCGCAGGCAGCUUACUAGGCCAUAACUGACGCUCAGGCACGAAGGCGUGGGGAUCAAACAGGAUUAGA